rnacentral:lncRNA from 1 species
CCCAAUGCACUAACAGGUUUGGGUAUUUUUUCUGAGUUGGCCUCUGGCCUUUACGCACCAACCACCACGCGAGAAUAGUUAUGGGCCUCGACGUCGUAGUAUCAGCCGAAGCUUUGUGAGACGUCCAGUUCAGCAUUGCGGCACGGCUGGGCCGGCACCAACCUGUAGUGGUGGAGCCUGGACCCGCCCUGCAUGUAACGACCCGGAAUGCAACGGGCGAUGGGCCCAGACCCCGGAGUGCUUAGGAUGUAGACCGGCGGGGACCUCUCUGCUAAGCCUAGGUAGGGCUACGACGUGUUGAUUUUCCGAGGCCGGGCAUUGACCCAGAAAAGUGUGUCCGGCCAGAGUAAUCAAGCGUGUUGGAAAACGUGGUGCACCCCUGCAGGGAAGAUAUAUACUCAAAUACCGUGUCCACGGUAAUGGACGUCCAGACUUGUAUCCCGAUCUUAUAUAACUAGAAAUGGAUACUUGAGACAUGAGAUGGUUAUGUGGCUCCGGGAUUGCUUUCUCGUAGGUAGUCAAGGAAGGAUCUCUGGGCGUUAAUGCUACAACAUGUUUGUUAAAUAUAAACUGCUAUUCUUUACUCUUCUACAUGCUGCAAGAUGCUUGGAGCUGCUUGAAGAUGCUAGUCUUCGAUAGGCUAGGCCUUCCCUUCUAUUCUGGCAUUCUGCAGUUCUGUCCACAGAUACAACCCUUCCAUUUGAUACCAAUGCGUACUUAGUAUAGAUCUGAUGCUUGCGAGUACUUUGGAUGAGUACUCACGGUUGCUUUGCUUCCCCUUUCGCCCCUUCUUUCUUCUUUCUGGUUGUUGCAACCAGAUGGUGGACCCCAGGAGUCAGAUGCCACCCCCGCCGACUACGACUACUACCCUGCGGGUGCCUACUACUAUGUGGAGACCGCCGACGACCAGGAGUAGUUAGGAGGUCCCAGGCAGGAGGCCUUGCCUCUUCGAUCGUGUUGCUUUUGGUGCUAGCCUUCUUAAGACAUCCUUGUUUAACCUAUGUCUGUACUCAGAUAUUGUUGCUUCCGAUGACGCUUGUAUUCGAGCUUCUGUAUUCGAGCCCUCGAGGCCCCUGGCUUGUAAUAUGAAGCUUGUAUUAUUUCAAUUAGUGUUUAGAGUUGUGUUGUGAUAUCUUCCCGUGAGUCCCUGAUCUUGAUCGUACACGUUUGCGUGUAUGAUUUGUGUACGGUCGAAUCGGGGGCGUCACAAGUUGCUAUCGGAGCCGACUGCAUGUAGGAACCCCCUUUCCAACUCCUUGGCCGAAGUUGAGUCUAGUCUUUGAAAAACCGAUUUACUAACAUGGCUGUGUGGUUUCCGGGCCCACAUCGCCAUUGGGUGGUAUUAGGAUCUUUUACUCCUCGACCUUUACUCUGGGAUUCUGAUCUCUCUUCUACUCGGGUUAAAUGAUUUUACUAAAUCUAACAUUAGGAUCUCAUGAUCACAUCCACCCAGAGAUUUGUAUUACCCUUUUCUCGAAUUGGGAGCCAAGUUCUGCUUCACAAUAUUCACUGACCGCAGGAUCCUCUUGUCGAGGGCACCCUACGUCAUCACUUGCUAAUCCCUCACUCCAUAGGUUUUCCCUGACAUUGAUGUAGCCUUCGCUAUGUCCCGUUGUUGUAUCCCUCCAUCGCGUGCACGCGUGCCACCUAGCAUGUCUGGGAUGUUUCUCUUGUCCGAACUCAUUCGAACAUCGUGUAACUGGCUCUAUAUAUGUAUCAGUAUGUCUUUAAUGACUACUGCCUUGUACAUACCGCGCCUUUGCUCGAUGUUCAAAUUACAUCAUGAAUAACUCCAUACACCUACUCCACCCCUUGUUAAACCGCUUCCUCAUGUUUUAAGCAGGAUGGUUAGACCCGCUAGUUAUGGCCGUGGUGGCGACAAUCCACCAUCGCCCAAAUUCAUGGCCGGAAUGAGACAACAGUUUGAUGCUAAAUCGAGUUCAUGGUAGGAUUUAUGGCUCAGUUCCCGCGCCCAAAUAUGAAUCAGCAACCCGCCCCAGUGACACUGCAAGACUUUGCACGUCUCAACCCUAUAAUCUACCGCAGCUCAACUCAGUCCCUUACUGCUGAUGAUUGGCUCUGUGACAUCACUUUCGAGUUGGAGUCGGCUGUUGUAGCCCCUGCCAACUAUGUCACCUUCGCGGCUUAUUACCUGAAAGGUCCCGCUGCUCAAUGGUGGGACAACCACAAGCAUUCCUUACCCGUUGAAACUGCCAUCACUUGGCCAAAAUUUCCAGCUGCAUCCUGUGGUCCAAAGUUGAACCACCAUGGUUAGUCACAACGUCCCCGUUGAAGUUGAAGGGCUGAAAUUCCAUGUUUCCCCCAUUGUUUUGAAGUCGUCCAAUAUCGACCUCAUUCUGGGCAUGGAAUGGAUGAAAGCACAUACUGCUUCUAUCAUUUGCACUACUAAAACUGUCUAUCUACUGCAUCAUUCGAGUGAGAUAGUAAGCUAAGAGGCUCAUCUUGUUCGAAAUACCGAAGCACAGAUUUAUUCCUUGAACGCGUAAACACUUCUCCUCUUGUGAGAAUUGGAAACGCUCCAGUCGUUUGUGAAUUCCAGGAUAUCUUUCGAGAAGAACUACCCAGUCCAUGGCCUUGAACUUGAUGCAGUUAAGUUUGCACUGAAAUUGUGGCAACAUUUCCUUCUUGGUAAUCGUUGCGAGAUCUUUACCGGUCAUCAAAGUCUGAAGUAUUUGUUUACUCAGCUAGAUCUGUAUCUCCGAAAGCAGCGAUGUAUGGAAGCCAUCAUAGACUAUGACUAUGGUAUUUCUUAUACCGCUGGGAAGGCUAAUGUCAUGGCCGAUGUCCUGAUCGCAUGUCUUAUUGCAACAAUCCCAUGGCUUCUAAAGCUCAACCCCUGCAAGAUGAUCUCACUUACAGAGAGCAUCAGGUCCGCGUUCUCGGUCAAACUGAACAUCGCACCGUGAGAGGGCUUUCAAAAUUCUAAAAGGUUGAGUGGUGAAAUCAUUCUGAAGAUGAAGCCACUUGGGAACUCGAGGGUCGUCUUUGAGAUGAAUACCCCGCUUUUGUUUCCUUCUACCUCCUAAAACUCGGGGCGAGAUUUCUUGUAGUGGAAGAGAAUUGUGACGCUCGGAUAAUUAAGCUACAGUAAUCCCAUGUUAAUGGUGCCAUGUCAUCACAUUACUAUUGCUAAUCCUCACUUAUCCAAAUCAUGAUUCAAAUUCAAAUUCAAAUUAAUGUCCAAAGUUCAAAUUUCUCAAACAUGCAAAAUAAAAUGUUCAAAGUGUGGCAAAUAUUCCAUAACUAAUUAUGGUGGUGACCCAACACUUUUGUGAAGUACUUAAAUGCCCUUUUGCGAAUAAAAUAGUGACUUAGAAAAUUAAUUAAAUGCCUUUUAUAAUUUCUAAAAUAGCAAACUACUUUAAGUAAAGUCCAAACUUUUUGUGGCACUCUAUAUAAUUGCAUCUCUAAUUGCGGGCCAAGUCUCAUUUUUUCUUGGAGGUCAUUUGCUAUUUGAAAAUGAAUUAUAACAGAAGCUAUAAAAGAAAAAUAUGGCAGAAAAGAAAAGGAGGAGGACCUAAGCUACUGGGCUUGUUAGCCCACCUAACUAAAGGCCGGCCCACAUACCCCUCCUCCCUCCUCCUGUUCAUGGGGAGGGGGCCGUGGCAGCCAUCCACGGUGCCUUGCCGCGGUGGCAGCCAUCGGUCGGCUCCUCCCCCUACAUCUACCACGGCACCCCCCAUCGACCCCUCUGUCGAACCCUAGUCUCCCCCACUCCCUCUCCCUCUCGCUCCUCUCCCCUCCAGAUCCGCCGCACCCUAACGGGGAGGUCAACGCGCCCCGCCGUCAGCGCACUCUGGCGCUACCCCGAGCUGCGCCAGGACGUCUGGCUCCUCCGCCGUCGUCGUCUACAUCUCCUCAUCACGCUGGAUGGAGCCGAGCCGCUCCAUCACCGCCAACACCUCCGUCUUCUACCUCGGGCGGCUGAAAUCGCUGCGGACUGCUCGUCGUCUCCGGACCUUCCCCAGGACUUCUCUGCAACGCCGGUGAGCUCCGGCUCCCUUCUCUCCAUUGGCGCCUUCCUCCGCGUUCGUAGCCGUAUUCGUCGUAGUUACCGUACCUGCCGCCGUGGUCGAGCUCGGUUGCCAUGGCCAAAGCUAUGCAUCUGCGCGCGCGCGCCCGCCCCUGACCCCGCGGCUACCUGCCUCUGCGCCCACACCGUCGUUGCUCGCCGCACGCUGCUAGCUGCUCCGCUCGCCAUGCCUCGCAUCGCCCCUGCCGCGUAGUCCUGCUCGCCCCUGCUUCCGCUUCCUCUGCCCCGCCGCAGCCGGACCUGCCCGAUACGGCUGCUCGACCUGCUGUUGCUGCUGCCACGGCCCCGCACAGCCACGCGCGUGCCCAGCCACCGCCGCGCCCACGCCCGGUGCCCGCUUGUCAGCCCCGCACCGGCACCCGCCCUUGCUGCUCUGCGCUGCUGCAGCUUAUGAUGCUAACCGCCGCCGCCUGCAGCUCGUCUGAGCUCCUGCUCGCGCGCCCGCCUUCGCUUCCCACGCGUGCUCGUCGGGGCCCGUAGCCCCCACUGCCGUCGCCGCCCCCACUGCUCCGCCCGCGAUGCCCAGGCCGCGCCUGUUCGCCCCCCUCCUGCCGCGCUUGCCUGGCNNNNNNNNNNNNNNNNNNNNNNNNNNNNNNNNNNNNNNNNNNNNNNNNNNNNNNNNNNNNNNNNNNNNNNNNNNNNNNNNNNNNNNNNNNNNNNNNNNNNNNNNNNNNNNNNNNNNNNNNNNNNNNNNNNNNNNNNNNNNNNNNNNNNNNNNNNNNNNNNNNNNNNNNNNNNNNNNNNNNNNNNNNNNNNNNNNNNNNNNNNNNNNNNNNNNNNNNNNNNNNNNNNNNNNNNNNNNNNNNNNNNNNNNNNNNNNNNNNNNNNNNNNNNNNNNNNNNNNNNNNNNNNNNNNNNNNNNNNNNNNNNNNNNNNNNNNNNNNNNNNNNNNNNNNNNNNNNNNNNNNNNNNNNNNNNNNNNNNNNNNNNNNNNNNNNNNNNNNNNNNNNNNNGCUCGCUGGUGCUGGCCGCCCCCCCCCGACCUCACCGGCUGCCGGCGCCCCGCCGCGCCCUGGUGGCCAUCGCCGGCCACGGCCUCGCCCGUGUGUUGGGGCGGCUGCCCACGCCCACGCCCUCUUGCCCGAUAGCCAGCGCCCGCUAUGGCCUUUGGCCCAAUGCCAGGUGGGCCCCAGCCAUGUAAAAAAAAGUAAUACAAAAAAUAUAUUAAUAAAAUUAAUUAAUUAAUUAGUUAAAUUAUUAAUUAACUUAAUUAAUUAAUCUUAAUUAAACUAAUGAACUAGAUUAGUUAAUUUAAUCAGUAGUUAGGUAAAUGUGUCUAUGACAGGGGGGCCCACCCCUGUUGACCAGUCAAACGUUGACUGGCCAACUGGGUCCCCCUGGCCCGCAUGUCACCCUUUGGUACACUUCUGUGUACACAGAUCUGGGUGCACAUAGCAUUUGAGCUAUUUAAUUUCGAAUUAAUAACAAAUUCAGAAUAUUGUUUAAAUCUUUGAAAAACGUAGAAAUUAAUCCGUAACUCGAAUGAAAAGGUUUUAUACAUGAAAGUUGCUCAGAACGAGGAGGCGAAUCGGAAUACGCUGUCCGUUCAUCUGUCACAUGCCCCUAUCACAGCGAACAUCGAACUUUUCCCCUCCGGUUCGUCAGUCCGAAAAUGCCUAACUCCGGGAAAACUUUCCGGAUGUUAUUCCCCUUCGCCGGUAUCGUGUAGCACUGCGUUAGAACCCCCCUAGCCCUGCGUGUUACCCGUCAUGCAUCUGUGUUGCAUCUGUUUGCAUUAUAUUUACUGUUUCUUCCCCCUCUUCUCUCCGGUAGACCCCGAGACCGCUGCUGAUGCCCCUGUGAUCGACUACGUCGACAACGACCCCUCUUCCCUUUCAGCAAAGCUUCCAGGCAAGCCCCCCCUUUGAUCAUCCCGAUAUCGCCCAUUCCAUUCUCUCAUGCUUGCAUUAGAUUUUGCUACUUAUAUUGUUUGCUCCUAUUCUGAUGCAUAGCCUGCUUUUGUAACCUGCUCAUUGUACCUUACCUGCUUAUCCUAAACUGCUUAGUAUAGGUUGGUUAGUGAUCCAUCAAUGACCCCCACCUUGUCCUUGUUGCCCCUGCUUCAUCUUCGAUGACUCGAUCAACGUGAUCGAUGACCAGAGCAUGACACCUCAGAUCACAUCACGCCCUUUUUGUUGCUCGACUCUGCAGAGCUACUAUCGAGUGCCGAGGGUGAUCCCUCAUAACGCACCCCUGAUGAUAAUUCUGUAGUGUAGCUAUUCGGUCGUGGUUAUCGAGGGUGAUUUCCUCUUUCACCAUUCCCGAUACGGCUCUGUCGUGCAACACCUCAAGUGUCAACCUCGAGGGUGGUCCCUCUUACGUUCACCUUGAUGAUUACAUUGAGUGGAAUCCACCGGGGGUGAUUCCUCGGGUUUUACCCUUGAUGUUUGGACACACGGUUACCUUGACUUUACUUGAGACCAUUGUUGAAGUCGGGUCGGCCCUGAGGGAUACCGGCGAGUUGAUGUGAAAGUCAGGCGGGCCCGUUGAGCACCCGCGAGUUUUCUACGUGGCACGGUCGGGGAGUCUGGGCCCUUGCCGUAAGUCCAUGAGACGGGGCGACGGGGUCACAUUAUCGUGAAUCUCUACUCGUCUCCGCGAGCCCCAAAUGCACUAACAGGUUUGGGUAUUUGUUCUGAGUUGGCCUCUGGCCUUUACGCACCAACCACCACGCGAGAAUAGUUAUGGGCCUCGACGUCGUAGUAUCAGCCGAAGCUUUGUGAGACGUCUCGUUCAGCAUUGCGGCACGGCUGGGCCGGCACCAUCCUGUAGUGGUGGAGCCUGGACCCGCCCUGCACGUAACGACCCGGAGUGCAACGGGCGAUGGGCCCAGACCACGGAGUGCUUAGGAUGUAGACCGGCGGGGACCUCUCUGCUGAGCCUAGGUAGGGCUACGACGUGUUGAUUUUCCGAGGCCGGGCAUUGACCCAGAAAAGUGUGUCCGGCCAGAGUAAUCAAGCGUGUUGAAAAACGUGGUGCACCCCUGCAGGGAAGAUAUAUAUUCGAAUACCGUGUCCACGGUAAUGGACGUUCAGACUUGUAUCCCGAUCUUAUAUAACUAGAAAUGGAUACUUGAGACAUGGGAUGGUUAUGUGGCUCCGGGAUUGCUUACUCGUAGGGAGUCGAGGAAGGAUCUCUGGGUGUUAAUGCUACAACAUGCUUGUUAAAUAUAAGCUGCAAGAUGCUUGGAGCUGCUUGAAGAUGCUAGUCUUUGAUAGGCUAGGCCUGCCCCUCUAUUCUGGCAUUCUGCAGUUCAGUCCACAGAUACAACCCUUCCAUUUGAUACUAAUGCAUACUUAGUAUAGAUCUGAUGCUUGCGAGUACUUUGGAUGAGUACUCACGGUUGCUUUGCUUCCCCUUUCGCCCCUUCUUUCUUCUUUCUGGUUGUUGCAACCAGAUGGUGGACCCCAGGAGUCAGAUGCCACCCCGGCCGACUAUGACUACUACCCUGAGGGUGCCUACUACUAUGUGGAGACCGCCGACGACCAGGAGUAGUUAGGAGGUCCCAGGCAGGAGGCCUUGCCUCUUCGAUCGUGUUGCUUUUGGUGCUAGCCUUCUUAAGGCAUCCUUGUUUAACCUAUGUCUGUACUUAGAUAUUGUUGCUUCCGCUGACGCUUGUAUUCAAGCUUCUGUAUUCGAGCCCUCGAGGCCCCUGGCUUGUAAUAUGAAGGUUGUAUUAUUUCAAUUUGUGUUUAGAGUUGUGUUGUGAUAUCUUCCCGUGAGUCCCUGAUCUUGAUCGUACACGUUUGCGUGUAUGAUUGGUGUACGGUCGAAUCGGGGUGUCACAGUGGUGCCCACCCAGGUGCCCCCUCCAGUGGUUCUUAGCUCCAAAAAUUCUCUUUAUUGAUAUAAAGAAAUCCUCGCAAAGUCUCG